rnacentral:rRNA from 1 species
CGCGAAGAACCUUACCUGGUCUUGACAUCCACAGAACAUUCCAGAGAUGGGAUGGUGCCUUCGGGAACUGUGAGACAGGUGCUGCAUGGCUGUCGUCAGCUCGUGUUGUGAAAUGUUGGGUUAAGUCCCGCAACGAGCGCAACCCUUGUUAUUAGUUGCCAGCAUUAAGUUGGGCACUCUAAUGAGACUGCCGGUGACAAACCGGAGGAAGGUGGGGAUGACGUCAAGUCAUCAUGCCCCUUAUGACCUGGGCUACACACGUGCUACAAUGGGCAGUACAACGAGAAGCGAGCCUGCGAAGGCAAGCGAAUCUCUGAAAGCUGUUCUCAGUUCGGACUGCAGUCUGCAACUCGACUGCACGAAGCUGGAAUCGCUAGUAAUCGCGGAUCAGCACGCCGCGGUGAAUACGUUCCCGGGUCUUGUACACACC